AAAUUAUAUUAUAUUUCUUAGACGCGAGAAUAUAUGGCUGAAAUUGUCAAAUUCGUUUAUGUUAUGAUUAUCUUUCUCUCUCUAUUUCUCGUUUCAAUACACAUUAAUGCGCUUAAUGAAUGUACUCAAGAUUAUGAUUGUCCAAUAGAGAUGUGCCCGUUUCCUUUUCAACCGAAGUGUAUUAUGUUGAAAAAUUUGUCAAUUUUCUCAAAUUCAGGCAUAUGUUCAUGUACUUGAGUAAUGUGCCUAUAAGAUUCUUCAAGAAUAUUAUGUGAUGUAUCAUUUAGUUAUUGUAUUAACACACAAUAAUUUAAAUUUUAAAUUUUUCUAUUUUUAAGAACCACGUAGUUAUUGUUUUGUACUUUAAAAUAAUGGUAAUUAAAUGAAUAAGGAACAAAAACUAAUAUUAUUUAUAUUAUAUAUGUC